UCAUCAGAUAACUUAAAGUAAGUAAUGAAAUUUUAAAUCAUUUAAUAAUAGAGUAACGCCUAUUUCUAAUG
rnacentral:tRNA from 1 species